GUACGGGGUGGGUUAAGCAAGGAUUCGGCAACCCCUUGCCUCACGGCAAAGACCACGGCUAAAGAAGAUUGCAGCAAAGAAGAAAUCAGGAAGAUGCAGAGGAGAUUUCGGGAACUUCUCGCCGACGGAGAAAGAAGAGGAGAGGAGAGAAUUGAAACCCUAAAUGUAAAUGCCGUCCACAUCAAUACCCCAAAAUAUUGAAGACAACACCUUUCUAAUGUCCGAUCCCACAGUUAAUCUCAGGCUUCUUUUGGGUUGUAACACCCCCAAUCGGACUCGAGACAUGUCUAGGGCACGGGAUUGUGGUUGCAGGCUUCACAUUCGUCACAAUAGGGUUUGAAUUGACGAUGGAUUCUCUAACUCACAUAUUGUUGCUGUUGUUUGUUUUUUAAGCACAUGGUGAAGGUCAUAGAACUAAUCGAUAACCUGGAAGUUACAAGACAUGUGCCCUACAUUGGUGGGUUCAGAUGGAUAUCCUUUUCAGGAGAAAUUUAUCUUCGGCUUAAAUUUGGAGAAGAUGUUGUUAAGUGAUGAAAAGCAAUGUGCGGAACACAUCAUGCUGGUUGACUUAGGGAGGAAUGAUGUCGGAAAGGUAACGAAACCUGGUUCGGUUAAUGUGGAAAAGCAUAUGACCGUUGAACGGUACUCCCAUGUGAUGCAUAUUAGUUCCACCAUGACUGGGAGUUGCUCGAUAAUCUGACUUGCUGGGACACCCUUUCUGUUGCACUUCCAGUUGGAAUUGUUAGUGGUGCUCCAAAGCAAUGGCUAACACGGAUGUCACUUUCCUGAAUCAACUAAAUGUUGAUUCGAAAAACGUCACUAUAAAGGUCAAGAUUGUCAAGCUUUGGAGGAGACCCAUGAAGGAUAACAAAAAAGAAACCUGGUCUAUUGAAAUGAUUCUGAUGGAUGAACAGGGGACAAAAGUUACUGCAAGUUGUCUACAAAAGUUUUUUCCCAGAUUUGGGAAACAUCUGAUUCAAGAUGAUUGCCUCUUUAUCCAUAGGCCAUCACUUGCCGAAAACAAGUUUACCUUGAAGUUUGCUGAAAAAGAACAGAAGGUUACUUUUUUCUACAACACUUUGAUCACGAAAUGCAAUAGCUGGUCAGGAUCUGAGCAUGGGUUCGUUUUUGCGGAUUUUAAGUCAAUUCUCGACAAAUCCGGGUCCAAUGACAAUUCAAUUCCUUUGGGUUCAAUUUUAGAUUUGAUUGGAUAUGUUGUCAUAUGUUACCCCAUGGAGCCUACCACUACAAAAUUAGGGCUUGGCAAAAGAAUGACUUUAAAGCUAAGAGAUUUAAAUAAUGAAGAUUUGACGGUGACUUUGUGGGACGAGUUUGCUGAGGAAAUGAACGCAUAUAUGUCAUGGAAAGAUAAAGAUAUGCAUGUGGUUUUACUUAUUCAGUUUAGGGUUUGAAGCUUUACAAAGGGAAACGAAUUGUUUCAAAUGCAUUUGAUGCAACUAGGCUGUUCAUCAAUACUGAUAUUGCUGAUAUCAAAGCAUUUAAAAAAAGUUAUAUUGAAAAUUGAAGUUCCUCAACUAAUUACCAGUUAGGUUCGUGCAUUAUCAACUCUGUUGAAGACCUAUUUGUUGAUGACACUAAGUUUAGCCCCAUUGCUUAUGUCCCUUUAAUAGAUGAGGAGAAAAGUGUUGUCAUUGUUGGUACCAUCAAGUCUAUUUGUACCGAAAAGCUCUGGUACUAUAACGCGUGCAAUGUUUGUAAGUACAAAGUCCAACAAAAACACAUCACUAUUUAUAUAUACUCUAAUUUACAACAAUUCGGUGCAAUGAAGUUGGUACAUCCUGCUUAGAAUGUUGUACUAGCUUUUUCAACAUUUUUUUUAUCCACACGCGACCUUUUCUACCUGCAACAUAAUCAAGAAACACAGGGAUCAGAUGAGAUACCGAGAGAAAGAGAGAGACUUCAAGAGGGAGAGACCGUAAAGGAGAUGGAGCCUCGCAGCGGUGGUUCUUAGGGUGACGUCAGUUAACUCAAGCGAAUGAUGAUGGCAGUACUAGCGGCUAGGGUUCAGAUCUGUUACCAGUAAAGGAGAUGGAGCCUCGCAGCGGUGGUUCUUAGGGUGGCGUCGGUUAACUCAAGCGAACGAUGAUGGCAGUACAUGUGGUUUAAGAAAGGAGAUUUCGGUGACUUAUAGACCGCCGUUGUUAGUUGCCGGAAGAAGUUCCCCUGGUCUCUUCUCCAACCCUUUCUUUAGACACCAGAUUGGUCGAUGGUGUUAGCCGUUAGGUUCCAGUGACACAGGUAUGGUUAGGAUUCGGUGGUGGUUGACGGUGUUCUACGGCGGACAAUAAACAGAAGGGUGGCGUAUGGUGAGUCGAACUUGACACGGAUGUCGAGGGAUUCCAUCAAUGGAAGGUUUAAGGUUUGGGGAUUUAGAGUUCCGCUACUUCUGCAGUUCUCGCUCCAUUUGCGCAAGUGAGCCCGUACAAGAUUGAAAUGAUGACGGGUAUGUCGGCAAACAAAAGUCAAGCAGUUGACUCAAGAGAUUAUUUUUAGGGAUAGAAAAGCCUUGAUUCCAAUUAACAGAUUACAUAUCAGGAUCAUAAAAGAAUAUGGGAAGUUCGAUAUGAUUAUCAACAAGACAGAGCUCCAAAGGAGGUAAUGGUCAGUCAUAAAUGUGCAGAGGUUGGUUUUUGAGGUGCUCAGGUAAUAUCUAACUAUUCAUGCUAAUUAUAAAAUCUGAGUAUUAGUAUUAUGAAUGUUUUAAUUGUAAAAAGAGGAUUAAAUUUUCAAAAUUUUAAUCUUAGUAUUAGAAUAACAUACAUUGUUUUAAUAUAAACAAACCUUUAAGUAAUAGAGCAUAAUGCAUCCCAUAUGUGUGUGUGUCUCUGAGUACAUAGUGAAGUUCAUGAACUCUACCAUAUAUAUGUGUGUGUAUAACUAUGCAGUUAAUAUCGGUCCCUUAGUAAAAUAUCGGUACCGAUAUCGGCGAUAUAUACCAAGAUUUGACCGACAUAAUCGAUAUAUCACCGAUAUUUGACUGAUAUAACCGAUAUAUAACCGAUCUAACCGCUAUAUCACUGAUAUAUCAUUGAAUUAUAUGUGUUAAAUUGCUAUAUGUAUAAAUCUGUAUUUACAUGUGGUAUCGAUAAGGUAUGUUAAUCCGUGUGUUCUUUCGAGAUUUUUUUUUGCGCAUUCCGUUAAGGUGACGUAUUUGCUAUAACCAUGGUGUUUGCAGGCCACUUUCUUCUGACCCAUAUGUUGCUUGACAAUAUGAAGAAAACAGCCCGUAAAAGUAAGAAAGAGGGAAGGAUUGUGAAUGUAUCAUCAGAGGCUCAUAGGAUUACUUAUCCUGAAGGAAUUUGUUUCGAAAAAAUUAAUGAUGAAACAAAGUAUAGUAAAUAUCAAGCAUAUGGUCAAUCAAAGCUAGCCAACAAUCUGCAUGCUAAUGAGCUUACAAGACAGCUAAAGGGGGCCGCGACAACAUGCUAUGUAGCAUUGUACCAACAAGUGAAAGGAGUAAGUGGGGAAUUAUUUCUCGGAUAGCAACUUGGCAAAAACAACAGAUGUGGCUAAAGAUAUGGAUUUGGCAAAGAGAUUAUGGGAAUAUAGCAUCAAUCUAAUAAAGUAAACAUCAAAACUUUGCCCCAGUGGAUUAAGAUAAAUGCAUAAAUGACCAUUUGGCUUGGCUUCCAUCAUUCCAUGCAAAGUUUUUUAUUACUAAGAAAUGACCAUAUUAAUUUGAUUUUGAAUUUCAAAGUUUGCUGAUAUGUUCUGUUUCGAAUCUGAUUAACUUACUGAUGAAUCGUGUUGUUCGUUGCAGAGAUGUCAACAACAGUUAUGAACGAUACAAUUAUGAUGCCAACAACCGAUCCGCAGAUAAAUAAAACAGUUAACUCAACCGAAUUAGUGUUAGCAAAGUGUGAUUGGUGCGAAUUAACGGAGGAGUGUACGCCGGAGUACAUAAAAAAAUUCGAGCAAGGUAUAAUGGUAACUGGAUGUGCGGAUUGUGUGAAGAGGCGGUUAAAGACGAAAUGGUAAGGAGCAAAGGCUAAUCGACACGGAAGAAGCUAUGAUGCAUCAUAUGAACUUUUGCCGAAAAUCAAAGUCGCCGGAUCCAAUGUUGAGUCCUACGAUUGACUUAAUCGAAUCAAUGAGACGGUUUAUCCGGCGAGGUUUGGAUUCGCCUAGACCGUCGAUGUUGUGAUUGUCAUUCAUAGCGUAACAUAAAGCGGAACAAUUUAUAAACUAAUAGACGAGUAUAAUGAUGUAAAUUAUCGAUUCCGCCGCAACGCGCUGGUUUCCCACUUAA